rnacentral:rRNA from 1 species
UACGGAGGGUGCAAGCGUUAUCCGGAUUCACUGGGUUUAAAGGGUGCGUAGGUGGGUUGGUAAGUCAGUGGUGAAAUCUCCAGGCUUAACUUGGAAACUGCCAUUGAUACUAUUUGCCUUGAAUAUUGUGGAGGUGAGCGGAAUAUGUCAUGUAGCGGUGAAAUGCUUAGAUAUGACAUAGAACACCAAUUGCGAAGGCAGCUCACUACACAAUCAUUGACGCUGAGGCACGAAAGCGUGGGGAUCAAACAGG